rnacentral:rRNA from 1 species
GACGAACGCUGGCGGCGUGCUUAACACAUGCAAGUCGAACGAAGAGCGAUGGAAGCUUGCUUCUAUCAAUCUUAGUGGCGAACGGGUGAGUAACGCGUAAUCAACCUGCCCUUCAGAGGGGGACAACAGUUGGAAACGACUGCUAAUACCGCAUACGAUCUAAUCUCGGCAUCGAGGAUAGAUGAAAGGUGGCCUCUACAUGUAAGCUAUCACUGAAGGAGGGGAUUGCGUCUGAUUAGCUAGUUGGAGGGGUAACGGCCCACCAAGGCGAUGAUCAGUAGCCGGUCUGAGAGGAUGAACAGCCACAUUGGGACUGAGACACGGCCCAGACUCCUACGGGAGGCAGCAGUGGGGAAUCUUCCGCAAUGGACGAAAGUCUGACGGAGCAACGCCGCGUGAGUGAUGACGGCCUUCGGGUUGUAAAGCUCUGUUAAUCGGGACGAAAGGCCUUCUUGCGAAUAGUGAGAAGGAUUG